rnacentral:tRNA from 6 species
GGGCGGUUAGCUCAGCGGUAGAGCACUUCGUUGACAUCGAAGGGGUCACAAGUUCGAACCUUGUACCGCCCACCA